GAUGAACGCUAGCGGCAGGCCUAAUACAUGCAAGUCGGACGGGAUCCGUCGGAGAGCUUGCUCGAAGACGGUGAGAGUGGCGCACGGGUGCGUAACGCGUGAGCAACCUACCUCUAUCAGGGGGAUAGCCUCUCGAAAGAGAGAUUAACACCGCAUAAUAUCAACAGUUCGCAUGUUCAGUUGAUUAAAUAUUUAUAGGAUGGAGAUGGGCUCGCGUGACAUUAGCUAGUUGGUAGGGUAACGGCUUACCAAGGCGACGAUGUCUAGGGGCUCUGAGAGGAGAAUCCCCCACACUGGUACUGAGACACGGACCAGACUCCUACGGGAGGCAGCAGUAAGGAAUAUUGGUCAAUGGGCGGAAGCCUGAACCAGCCAUGCCGCGUGCAGGAUGACUGCCCUAUGGGUUGUAAACUGCUUUUGUCCAGGAAUAAACCUUUCUACGUGUAGGAAGCUGAAUGUACUGGAAGAAUAAGGAUCGGCUAACUCCGUG
rnacentral:rRNA from 1 species